rnacentral:rRNA from 1 species
GAUGAACGCUGGCGGCGUGCCUAAUACAUGCAAGUCGAGCGAACAGACGAGGAGCUUGCUCCUCUGACGUUAGCGGCGGACGGGUGAGUAACACGUGGAUAGCCUACCUAUAAGACUGGGAUAACUUCGGGAAACCGGAGCUAAUACCGGAUAAUAUAUUGAACCGCAUGGUUCAAUAGUGAAAGACGGUUUUGCUGUCACUUAUAGAUGGAUCCGCGCCGCAUUAGCUAGUUGGUAAGGUAACGGCUUACCAAGGCUACGAUGCGUAGCCGACCUGAGAGGGUGAUCGGCCACACUGGAACUGAGACACGGUCCAGACUCCUACGGGAGGCAGCAGUAGGGAAUCUUCCGCAAUGGGCGAAAGCCUGACGGAGCAACGCCGCGUGAGUGAUGAAGGUCUUCGGAUCGUAAAACUCUGUUAUUAGGGAAGAACAAAUGUGUAAGUAACUAUGCACGUCUUGACGGUACCUAAUCAGAAAGCCACGGCUAACUACGUG